AUUGAACGCUGGCGGCAUGCCUUACACAUGCAAGUCGAACGGUAACAGGUCUUCGGAUGCUGACGAGUGGCGAACGGGUGAGUAAUACAUCGAAACGUGCCUAGUAGUGGGGGAUAACUACUCGAAAGAGUGGCUAAUACCGCAUGAGAUCUACGGAUGAAAGCAGGGGAUCGCAAGACCUUGUGCUACUAGAGCGGCCGAUGGCAGAUUAGGUAGUUGGUGGGAUAAAAGCUUACCAAGCCGACGAUCUGUAGCUGGUCUGAGAGGACGAUCAGCCACCCUGGGACUGGGACACGGCCCAGACUCCGACGGGAGGCAGCAGUGGGGAAUUUUGGACAAUGGGCGCAAGCCUGAUCCAGCAAUGCCGCGUGCAGGAUGAAGGCCUUCGGGUUGUAAACUGCUUUUGUACGGAACGAAAAGCCCUGGGUUAAUACCCUGGGGUCAUGACGGUACCGUAAGAAUAAGCACCGGCUAACUACGUGCCAGCCGCCGCCGUAACAC
rnacentral:rRNA from 1 species